AGUAUGAUCUACAAAUAAGUUAACUUGACCAAAAUGGUCAGUUGACCCCUUAAGGAGUUAUUGCCCUUUAUAGUCAAUUUUUAACCAUUUUUCGUAAAUUUUUGUAAUCUUUUACAAAAAUCUUCUCCUCUGAAACUACUUAGACAAAUUUAACCAAAAUUGUCCACAAUCAUCAUUAGGGUAUCUAGUUUAAAAAAUGUGUCCGAUGAUCCUGCCCGCAAACCAAGAUGGCCGACAUGGCAAAAAAAUAAUACAUAGGGUAAAAUGCAGUUUUUGGCUCAUAUCUCUGAAACCAAAGCAUUUAGAGCAAAUCUGAUGGUAUAAAAUUGUUCAUUAGGUCAAGAUCUAUCUGCCCUGAAAUUUUCAGACCAAUCAGGCAACAUGUUGUUGGGUUGCUGCCCCUGAAUUGGUAAUUUUAAGAAAAUUUUGCAGCUUUUGGUUAUUAUCUUGAAUAUUAUUAUAGAUAGAGAUAAACUGUAAACAGCAAUAAUGUACAGCAAAGUUAGAUCUACAAAUAAGUCAACAUGACCAAAAUUGUCAAUUGACCCCCUAAGGAGUUAUUGCCCUUUAUAGUCAAUUUUUUACAAUUUUCAUAAAUUUUGUAAAUUUUUGUAAAUUUUUACAAAAUAUUUUCCACUGUAACUACUGGGCCAAGUUCAUUAUAGAUAGAGAUAAUAGUAAGGAGCAAGAAUGUUCAGUAAAGUAAGAUCUACAAACACAUCACCAUCACCAAAACACAAUUUUGUCAUGAAUCCAUCUGUGUCCAUUGUUUAAUAUGCACAUAGACCAAGGUGAGCGACACAGGCUCUUUAGAGCCUCUAGUUUCUUCGUGCUUGAAGAUAUUGAUUUGAUAUUUGGUAUAUAGUUUAACCAUGACCAGUUACAGAUCAAGUUCGAAUUUUGUUCCAGUCCAAUGAUGUUGUGACGGGUUGUGGUUCUUGGACUUUGAAGAUUCAUGCAAGUAAUCAGUUUUCUGCACUUUUUUUCGUCAUGCUUGAAGAUUUUGAUUUGAUAUUUGGUAUAUAGUUUUAUCAUGAUGAGUUACAGAUCAAGUUCUAAUUUUGUUCUGGUCUGAUAAUUUUGUGCAGAGUUAUGGUCCUCGGACUAGAAAAACUCGCGCAAAUAAUCAGUUUUCCACACUUUUUUUCGUCAUGCUAUAAGAUAUUGAUUUGAUAUUUGUUUAUAGUUUACACCAUGAGAACUUAUAGUUCAAGUUAGCAUUUUGUUCCAGUACAAUGAAUUUUUAACCGGUAGGGGACUAUGUAUUGCCAUGCAAUACUCUCAGAAUGCUUGUUGUUGAUUAAUGUAGUCAUUGUUGAUUGCUGUAAGUAUUGUUUUACUUGAAUUUGAAUCCUGUUGCUUUUGUAGUGAGCCUUUCAUAUAAAACAACCAUUGUUGUAUUAUAUACCAUGGUAUUAGUUUUACUACAUUUUUAUUUCUGUCAGUUUGGAUUAGUACUCAUUAGAGCAGUAUCACCCAUUGAAUUAUUAUUACAGUUCCCUCUGAUUCUUCAACAUUUUUGUCCUUAAUUUUUCAUCUCUUAUUUUAUUAAUUGUACUUUAAAAAAAAUAAAUGUAAAAACAAGUUUGGUUUAAGCGCAACUAUAAUUUGUACUUCAUGAGUCAAUAUCUUGUUUACAAUUUUGAUAUGAAUUUUAUGGUUUUAAUUUUUUCUUUAGAAAGAGAAUGUAAAACUAGAAAUCUAGAAAGUAGGAUCUUAACUGAUACCUUUUAAAAUUACACCAAUAAAUAUAUUGCAUUCAAUUUUUAGUAUUAAAGAUUCAAGCAUGCAUAUUUAUCCUAAGGAGGAUAAACCUAUUUUGUAGACCCUCAAUAAAAUUCUAUAAGGUAAUUAUAGGAUAUCAAAUUGUUUGCUUGAGAUUUUUCUUUAUUGUUAAUCAUGAGAGAUUUUUCUUUAUUGUUAAACAUGAGAGAUUUCUCUUAUUGUUAAACAUGAGAGGUUUUUCUUUAUUGUUAAACAUGAGAGGUUUUUCUUUAGUGUUAAACAUGAGAGAUUUUUCUUUAGUGUUAAACAUGAGAGAUUUUUCUUUAGUGUUAAACAUAAGUGAUUUUUCUUUAUUGUAAAAAUUGAAAGAUUUUUCUUUAGUGUUAAACAUGAGAGAUUUUUCUUUGUAAAAUAAAAAAAAAACUAGUGAAUUUUUUUUGAGAAAUGGGUUGUAGUUGGGCAAAUAGUUGACAGCAAUUCAGUAUGCCUGUAAGAAAACAAAACAAUCUUUUCAGUUGCUGGAAAAAAGAAUUGCUUUUAAUUUAUUUCUGAAAUGUAAACAGUUAUCUAUUAUCUAUUAAUUCACUGACCUUUUAAUUUUCAAGGCUAGAUAGCCAUUUUCUAGGCAGUUGUUCAAACCAAUAUGGCAACAUAGAAUUAUAAUUUUAAUAAAAAUCAAUUCACCAUAAUGGCUGCCUUUUUUAAAUUAUGAAAAUGUCGCUGUUUUUAUAUAAUCUGCUUUUCACAAAGUCAAAUAUGAAAAAUAUGUACAAAAAAUUGUUCAUUGUCAAAGAUCAUCCAGUUAUAUUUUUGGAGAUGAUUUUAAAUGAUUUUUACAGUGUAUAUGGCUUGAUAAUGUCAAUUUUAUUUGUAAAAAUCUAUUCUAUGUGUCUUUAGAAAAUCUUAUGGUUCACUUCAUAAGUUUCAGUUGGGGAUUCAAGGGGGAAGAAGAGAACAAUACCCCCCCCCCCCCUUUCUUUAAAUCCUGGAUCUGCCUUGAGUAUUAUAUUUAUUUAUAAUAGUUGUAUGAUAAUCAUUAUAUACAUUAGAGUUCUGUAAAAAGGAAAUAAAAUUUGCUGGAAUAAAGACAUAUUCUCCUGAUUAGAAUAUAACAUUGUAGCAUCUUAGAAAUGCAAUUGAUAUUUUUAAAAAUGAAGGAUUACAUUUUCUAGCAUGUUUAUAGUAAUCUAUUGUCCUCAAGCAGAUCUUUUAUAAUGUAAAAAACACAAAAUGUUCAUCUAUCAAUAAGUUAUAUUUAUUAAAUGCUUGCAGUCUGAUUGGUUAAUAGGCAAUCAUGUGACAUAACAAUUAAUUCUUCAUAUCUUGAUGUAUUUCAUGUAAAAUAAGCAUUCAAAAUUUUCAGACUGGCAUUAUUAAAUAAAAUUAAAAGAAUUUG